AGAGCUGGCAAGUCGUCCCAGGGAAGACAACGGCCUUCCUGGAGGGAGGGAACCUUGUGGUUAGGCGCAUGGGGUGCGAAGCAGGGCCUCUACUUGGCCGACGCAGCUAGAAGACUAAGGUCAGGGGCAUUCUGGAUGCAGCCCACAAAGCUAGCUCUCUGUGGCACUGAGCAAGAUCAUCUCAGCCUCUCCUGAACUGUGACCAACUGGCUUACUCAAGGGACUGGAUCUGCUGUCCCGACAUGAUGGCAAGCUGCAGCACAUCAUGCAGAUUAAAGUUCAGCCUGCCUCAGACUCAGGAUAAAAACACAUUUGGGACAGUCUCGCUCAGCCUCAUUGCAGAGACAAGAAAUGUAUGGUAAGAUGGCAUACGGAGUAUUAAUUUGUUCAAAAUGCUAACUGAUGUGAACUUACCAUUUUCCUGUUGAACUGCCACCAUCUCCCUCAUGGGUAGUGGGGAAGGGAGCCCCUGCUGCUGAGGAGGAGUCCACUGGUGAGAACAAGGAGCCGUAUUCUUAGCUUCCUCAGUCAAAAGACAUCUU
rnacentral:lncRNA from 1 species